GACGAACGCUGGCGGCGUGCCUAAUACAUGCAAGUGGGACGCAAGGAAACACACUGUGCUUGCACACCGUGUUUUCUUGAGUCGCGAACGGGUGAGUAACGCGUAGGUAACCUGCCUAUUAGCUGGGGAUAACUAUUGGAAACGAUAGCUAAUACCGCAUAAUAUUAAUUAUUGCAUGAUAAUUGAUUGAAAGAUGCAAGCGCAUCACUAGUAGUUGGACCUGCGUUGUAUUAGCUAGUUGGUAAGGUAAGAGCUUACCAAGGCGAGGAUACAUAGCCGACAUGAGAGGGUGAUCGGCCGGACUGGGAGUGAGACACGGCCCAGACUGCUACGGGAGGCAGCAGUAGGGAAUCUGCGGCAAUGGACGAAAGUCUGACCGAGCAACGCCGCGUGAGUGAAGAGGGAUUUCGGAUCGUAAAGCUCUGUUGUAAGGCAAGAACGUGUGUGAGAGUGGAAAGUUCACACAGUGACGGUAGCUUACCAGAAAGGGACGGCUAACUACGUG
rnacentral:rRNA from 1 species